GAAAGCUGGACAUGGGCCACUAAUUAUUUCUCAAGAAUAAAGGAUCUGUAGUUCUUCAUAUGGACUUUAUUGCUCUGAAAAUCAGAGAUUGCUUUGUACAUGAAAGAUGGAAAUGUCCCACUAAUUAUUUCUUGAGAAAAAAAGGAUCUGAUGAGCUUGGAUUGUGUCUAACUCUUGACCGGGAAUCUCCGAC
rnacentral:lncRNA from 1 species